CGCUGCGGGACGGCGACAACCACCCUGCAGUGUCCGUGAGGAGACAACAGGGGUGGAGCCGCCCCGUCGAACCGCGCAGAAGCCGCUGGCAGGCACCGCUCCGCAGUCGCGCCGCUGGGACUACAACUCCCGGCGUGCCCCGGGGCAGCGGCGCAUGGAGCGCGCUGAUUGGCCCGCGGGGGUGUGGGGGGGCAGCGCAGCGCGGGCGCCCCCAUGUGGCGGCUCGGCCGGGCCGGGACCCCCCCGGGAUAGCCCGGGACAAACCGGGACAAACCGGGAUAACCCGGGACAAACCGAAACAGCUCGGCUGCCUCCCGCUCCCGUGCCACGGGCCUCGCCCGGGCUGCCUGAAUGGACCCCGUGCUGAGUGCGGUGGCUGGGAACGGGGCCAGCUCUCUGCCUGUCCCCUGACACCCUGGGCACAGGAUUUUCCCUCGUAUCCCUAUUCCUCUUGGUCGCUUCCCUCCCCUCUCGCUUUCCUUUCCCGUCCCUUCCCAGAUGACGGUGAGCGGGAGGAGCUCUGGGACACAGCAGGGAGAUUCCUCCCUUCCCAGGCAGCCUCUGGCAGGCAGUGCUGGAACACGAUGGGAAUGUUAACAAAAUUCCUGGAAUCUUCAUGGAGAGAGCUGUAAAGGACAGCAUCACUCAAAGUGCAACAGAACUGAAAUUGCAGCUGAUUAACCUUUGAUUUAUUUCCUGGUUUAUGGUAUAACACAAGUUUUUUCAGGUGAAAUAAAGAUGCUUUUUUAAUCA